GGAAGUAAAAGUCGUAACAAAGGUUUCCGUAGGUGAACCUGCGGAAGGAUCAUUACAGAGUUCAUGCCCUCACGGGUAGAUCUCCCACCCUUGAAUAUUUAUACCUUAGUUGCUUUUGCAGGCCGUGGAAACACCAUGGGCUCCGGUUUAUGCGUGCCUGCCAGAGGAAACAAACUCUGUUUUUAGUGAUGUCUGAGUACUAUAUAAUAGUUAAAACUUUCAACAACGGAUCUAUUGGUUCUG
rnacentral:misc_RNA from 1 species